GAUUCUGGCUCAGGAUGAACGCUGGCGGCGUGCCUAAUACAUGCAAGUCGAACGAGGUAGCAAUACCGAGUGGCGAACGGGUGAGUAACACGUAGGUAACCUGCCCUUAAGCUUGGGAUACCCAGAGGAAACUUUGGCUAAUACCGGAUAACAACAGAGAAGGCAUCUUCUUUGCUUGAAAGGCCCCUUCAAGGGUCACUUAAGGAUGGACCUGCGGCGCAUUAGCUAGUUGGUGAGAUAACAGCCCACCAAGGCGAGGAUGCGUAGCCGAACUGAGAGGUUGAUCGGCCACAUUGGAACUGAGACACGGUCCAAACUCCUACGGGAGGCAGCAGUAAGGAGUUUUCGGCAAUGGGGGAAACCCUGACCGAGCAACGCCGCGUGAGCCGAUGACGGCCCUAUGGGUUGUAAAACUCUGUUCUUCGGGAAGAACGGUGGUCGGGUGAAUAGCCCGAUUGCGUGACGGUACCGAAGGAGAAAGCCCCGGCUAACUACGUGCCAGCAGCAGC
rnacentral:rRNA from 1 species